AGACAGAAACACAAAAUCUGAAGCAGGCUCCAGGCUCUGAGCUGUCAGCACAGAGCCCGACGCUGGGCUCGAACUCAUGAACCGGGAGAUCAUGACCUAAGCUGACAUCAGAGGCUUAGCCAACUGAGCCACCCAGGCUCCCCUGGAAUUCAUAUUAAACCUGGUUUUCUUUAUAAUUAUUGCAAGUUUUUAGUAUUUCUGUCUCCUUAUUCUGCAUUCCAUUUAGGGUAACCGUGUAAUUUAUCAUGCAAAUGAGACAGUUUUGGGAAUGAAAAAGGGCACUACGGUGAUUAUACAGUUAGUAAAUCUGAAUUUAUUGGCUGAAAAUUUUUAUUAUUUGUUGGUAGACUGGUAAAAUAGAUCUAUUCGAAAAAUAUUUUUUAAAUGUGGUGGGGUGCCUGGGUGGCUCAGUUGGUUAAGUGUCUGACUCUUGAUUUCAGCUCAUGCCAUGAUCCUACAUUUGGUGAAAUCAACACUUGGGUCAAGCUCUCUCCUGACAGUAUGGAGUCUGCUUGGAAUUCUCUCUCUCCCUUUCUCUCUGCCUCUCCACUGCUCACUCUCUCUCUCAAAAUGAAUAAGUUAUCCAACCAUCUACCAACCCCCAGGAAGUGCAACAAACUCAGAAUCUGCUCACAGGGAAAACAGCAGAAGGAAAAUAUAGGAAGAGUUUACAUACAGGACUUCAAAUGUUUUAGACUGUGGAACUGCAGGAUGCUUUGUCACAGACACCUGUCAGAUUGUUAUAGUUAAGGAAGAAGAGAGAUUUCUGAAGGAGGAAAUAGAUGAGAGAAGAACACAAAGAGCAAUGGGGUGAUGUCUACAUUUAGAAAGACCAGGAACCAGACAAGAAAAAGUCAGAAUUGUUGGAGAACUGGGAGUGGGCAGUCCUUGUAGUCAAGGGUGGAAGUAGUUUCAAAAAUGGGUUAUUCAUAGCCUGAAAUGUCACAGAGACCACAAGAAAGAUGAGAUUGAGCACAAAAGAUGAAAAGAAGUCAAAUAUAAGGUUCCUAGCACAGUUCCAAGCACAUGGAAAGAACUUCACUCACAGCAAGUAUUAUUACAAGGAAAUGACCAUUAAAUAUGGUAGUUUUUUUUAAAUUGAUAAAUUAUUUUAUUUUAUUUUUUGUUUUUUGGGUUUCUUUUAUAUGAAAUUUAUUGUCAAAUUGGUUUCUAUACAACACCCAGUGCUCUUCCCAACAGGUGCCCCCCUCAAUGCCCAUUACCCACUUUCCCCUCCCUCCCAGCUCUCCAUCAACCCUCAGGUUAUUCUCAGUUUUUAAGAGUCUCUUAUGGUUUGCCUCCUUCCCUCUCUGUAACUUUUUUUCCCCGUUCCCCUCCCCCUUGGUCUUCUGUUAAGUUUCUCAGGAUCCACAUAAGAGUGAAAACAUAUGGUAUCUGCCUUUCUCUGUAUGACUUAUUUCACUUAGCAUAACACUCUCCAGUUCCAUCCACGUUUCUACAAAAAGCCAUAUUUCAUUCUUUCUCAUUGCCAAGUAGUAUUCCAUUGUAUAUAUAAACCACAACUUCUUUAUCCAUUCAUCAGUUGAUGGACAUGUAGGCUCUUUCCAUAAUUUGGCUAUUGUUGAAAGUGCUGCUAUAAGCAUUGGGGCACAAGUGCCCCUAUGCAUCAGUACUCCUGUAUCCCUUGGGUAAAUUCCUAGCAGUGCUUUUGCUGGGUCAUGGGGUAGAUCUAUUGUUAAUUUUUUGAGGAACCUCCACACUGUUUUCCAGAGCAGCUGCACCAGUUUGCAUUCCCACCAACAGUGCAAGAGGGUUCCUGUUUCUCCACAUCCUCUCUAGCAUCUAUAGUCUCCUGAUUUGUUCAUUUUAGCCACUCUGACUGGCGUGAUAUCUUAGUGUGGUUUUGAUUUGUAUUUCCCUGGUGAGGAGUGAUGUUGAGCAUCUUUUCAUGUGCCUGUUUGCCAUCUGGAUGUCUUCUUUAGAGAAGUGUCUAUUCAUGUCUUCUGCCCAUUUCUUCACUGGAUUAUUUGUUUUUCGGGUGUGGAGUUUGGUGAGUUCUUUAUAGAUUUUGGAUACUGGCCCUUUGUCUGAUAUGUCAUUUGCAAAUAUCUUUUCCCAUUCCAUUGGUUGCCUUUUAGUUUUGUUGAUUGUUUCCUUUGCAGUGCAGAAGCUUUUUAUCUUCACGAGGUCCCAAUAGUUCAUUUUAGCUUUUAAUUCCCUUGCCUUUGGAGAUGUGUCAAGUGAGAAAUUGCUGCGGAUGAGGUCAGAGAGGUUUUUUUCCCGCUUUCUCCUCCAGGGUUUUGAUGGUUUCCUGUCUCACAUUCAGGUCUUUCAUCCAUUUUGAGUUAUUUUUGUGUAUGGUGUAAGAAAGUGGUCUAGUUUCAUUCUUCUGCAUGUUGCUGUUAAAUAUGGUAGUUAGGGAGUGUUUACAAGACACACCAAAAUUCUUACACAGAGUUGGAGUUUAACAAAUGUGUUGAAUGGAAUGAUGACUGA